rnacentral:rRNA from 1 species
UAGAGUUUGAUCAUGGCUCAGGAUGAACGCUAGCGACAGGCUUAACACAUGCAAGUCGAGGGGCAGCGGGGAGGUAGCAAUACUUCCGCCGGCGACCGGCGCACGGGUGAGUAACACGUAUGGAACCUGCCCGUAGCAGGGGGAUAAACGGAAGAAAUUCCGUCUAAUACCGCGUAAUAACUCCGAGAGGCAUCUCAUGGAGUUUAAAGGGUAACACCGGCUACGGAUGGCCAUGCGGCGCAUUAGCUAGUUGGCGGGGUAACGGCCCACCAAGGCGACGAUGCGUAGGGGUUCUGAGAGGAAGGUCCCCCACACUGGUACUGAGACACGGACCAGACUCCUACGGGAGGCAGCAGUGAGGAAUAUUGGUCAAUGGGCGCGAGCCUGAACCAGCCAAGUCGCGUGAGGGAAGACGGUCCUAUGGAUUGUAAACCUCUUUUGUCGGGGAGCAAAAGACGCCACGUGUGGCGUUCCGAGAGUACCCGAAGAAAAAGCAUCGGCUAACUCCGUGCCAGCAGCCGCGGUAAUACGGAGGAUGCGAGCGUUAUCCGGAUUUAUUGGGUUUAAAGGGUGCGCAGGCGGAAGAUCAAGUCAGCGGUAAAAUUGAGAGGCUCAACCUCUUCGAGCCGUUGAAACUGGUUUUCUUGAGUGAGCGAGAAGUAUGCCGAAUGCGUGGUGUAGCGGUGAAAUGCAUAGAUAUCACGCAGAACUCCGAUUGCGAAGGCAGCAUACCGGCGCUCAACUGACGCUCAUGCACGAAAGUGUGGGUAUCGAACAGGAUUAGAUACCCUGGUAGUCCACACAGUAAACGAUGAAUACUAAUUGUUCGGGGAGAAUGAUCCCUGAGUGAUACAGCGAAAGCGUUAAGUAUUCCACCUGGGGAGUACGCCGGCAACGGUGAAACUCAAAGGAAUUGACGGGGGCCCGCACAAGCGGAGGAACAUGUGGUUUAAUUCGAUGAUACGCGAGGAACCUUACCCGGGCUCAAACGACACAGGAAUACUUUUGAAAGGAAGUAGCUCUACGGAGCCUGUGUCGAGGUGCUGCAUGGUUGUCGUCAGCUCGUGCCGUGAGGUGUCGGCUUAAGUGCCAUAACGAGCGCAACCCCCAUCGCCAGUUACCAGCAAGUCAAGUUGGGGACUCUGGCGAGACUGCCGGCGCAAGCUGUGAGGAAGGCGGGGAUGACGUCAAAUCAGCACGGCCCUUACGUCCGGGGCGACACACGUGUUACAAUGGCAGGUACAGAGAGAAGCAAUGCGGCGACGCAAAGCGGAACUUGAAAGCCUGUCUCAGUUCGGAUUGGAGUCUGCAACUCGACUCCAUGAAGCUGGAUUCGCUAGUAAUCGCGCAUCAGCCAUGGCGCGGUGAAUACGUUCCCGGGCCUUGUACACACCGCCCGUCAAGCCAUGGAAGCCGGGAGUGCCUGAAGUGUGCAACCGCAAGGAGCGCCCUAAGGUAAAACUGGUGACUGGGGCUAAGUCGUAACAAGGUAACCGUA